rnacentral:lncRNA from 1 species
CUGGGGAAUGUAAGUCCGACCCUGGGAUUUAUAACAAACUACCACAGAAGGAGGACUCCUGGGCUCCCAGUCAGGCCUCAAACAGGCAUCACAAAACGAUAAAGCUAUUUGCUUCUGAAUCCAACCCUCCCAAGCCAGUUCCUCCUUCACCUGCCCUGGAUGGAAGGGCAGCAAUUUCCCUUCAAGAUGCUGAGGGUAUGAAAGCUUUGUUCGCAAGCUGGGGUAUGAACACCUCCUUUUUAAGAAUAAACGUUAAGACCAAGCACACACUUUUCAGAGCUGCUAACGCCCACAUUUUGUGUCUAGCUUUGGGUUUCCAAGACCCAAUGUGAAAUGCAGUGCUUUCUCUACCUUUAAAGAAGAAAAUGGGAAAGAGAGGUGGGUUUUGGGGUUCUUAUUUUGCAAACCCCCUGGAGACAAUGCAAAAACUCCUCCUCUGCAGCAGCAGGUAAACACCUGAGCUGGGAAGGAAAGCUACCUGGUAGUCCCAAUGAAUGCCAGCAAGACAAGGGCAGGGAAGAGGCGGGGCAGCUUCUCUGUCAGCUGAAGGCUUACUUUUGUUUGAACAAUGUCCCAACCUCAGGAGGGAGGGACAAAACCAAGAAUGGUGUGAUUUCCCCUGGGGGCCACUGCUAAAAUGAAGUUGGGCAUCGUGUGGGGCUGGAAGCUGUGGCUGCAGGAAGCCAGGGGUGAUGGCCUUCCUGCAGCCGUCUCUCGAGCCCCGAACUUGCGGGAAGAAAGGACUGCCCCCUUCCAACCCGUUCGGGUUGGUUUGCGCUGGAACGCCACGCUUUUCAAAGUGUCUGAGUGAUAGGUACUUUCUAAAUAUGUACAGCGAUGGCCUGAUAAGCAACUAAGCGUCUGGCUUCGCGGGUUCAUGCCCGAGGCUGUGCGGUCGGGGGAGGCUGGGGGCUCAGCCGAAACCUCAGCUCCUCCUUACAGGCCUGGUUUGGAAACGGGCUGUACACUGCUGGGGGCCCCACUUUCCAAUGUUUACUUCUGAGAUUGGAAGAAGAAGACAAGAAACACCUCCUCACCCCCUACCCUCUGCCUCCACGCCCGCGACUCAGCCCAGGUGACCCAAACGGCAGAGUCAACUUGGCGCAACCGGAGCGUCCCCAUCGCGCCGGCCACCCCCAGCCCCCUUCGCCCCUCGCUUGGCCCCACAAUGCGCCGUUGUGCCGCGCCUGCCGUCAGGCCGGGGAUUUGGAGCAGGGAUGGGGGGAAUAUUCGUCAGAUAUUUAAAACAGAGCCGAGAGAACAAAGCAGGCCUUUGUGCAGCAGGGCGGCCCGGGAGCUGGGAGCCGCCGGCCCCCAAGCACUGUGCUGGGCCAGGAGAGUGCGCAUGCGCGCGGCGACCUGUGCGCUCGGGUUCUGUGCCGGCUUUUACCCCAGCUGAAUAACCUGGUGGUCACAAGAAAGCAAAGGGAUUUUUAUGUGACAUCAUCUUGGCAAGAAGCUCCCUUACCAACCUUGACCUCCAGGUCUCCAUGGCAACUGCUGCUGGGACAUCAUUGGCACCAGAUUGUGUCCCUUAAAGGCCACACUGCAGCAAGGGCAGAUAAACAAUUUCAUGGCAACAGUCACGUAGCAAUCUCAUUCUUAAAUGUGGGCUGGUUAGUUAGGAUGAUGUAAGUGGUUUUUUCCACUCUCUUCCGCAUUCUGACUCCAGAAUUCUGGGCCUAGGACAUAGUCAAAGAAUGUACCUUGGGGUAUGAGGUAAGAAAACAGGCUGGGGUGGGACUUGAAGAAGUACCUUCUUCUAGACACAGGGACAGAUUCUUUUUCCUUUCCCAGUUGAGAGUUCAUUUUCUGUCUCGGUUCAACAAAGGCAUGUUAUCUUUAUAUAAAGGAAGCUGUAAUAGACAGUCUCCAAGAUGGCAGCCUUUAGUUCUUUCCCUCCUCAGAUUCAUGAGCUGCUUCUCACCUCUUAAAUCUGGUCUACCUAUAGUGACUUGCUUGACCAACAGAAUAUGCUAGGAGCAACAUUCUGGAACUUCCAAGGCUUGGUUGUAAGAAGCUUUGCAAUAUCUGCCUGGAUCUCUUAGAACCUUCAAUAUGGGACACUUGCUCUAGAAAUCAGCCACCAUCCUGUGAGAAGUCCAAGCCACAGAGUGAGGCCAGAAAUAGUUGCUGCAGUCAAGAGCCCCAGCUGAGCUCUCAGCCAACAUUCAGCAUCACUGCCAGCCAUGUGAGUGAGUGAUGGUGACCUUGGAUGUCCAGCUCAGUAGAACCUUCAGAUGAUUUCAGCCCUAGCCGUUCCAACUGCAAGACAUCCUGAGUGAGCUGAGCCCAGUCAACAGAGAUGUGAGAGAUAAAAAUGCAUUGUUUUGAGACACUAAGUUUUAGAGUGUCUGUUGUGUAGCAGUAGGUAGUUCAAGAGGAAUGAAAUGCUAGAUGGGGUAUGGAAGAUAGGAGAGGACCUCCUGAUAGCUCAGCUACUUUGAAAGGCUUUAUUUAUCAGGAUUUUUUGCCCCUGCAUCCCACCAACACCAUCCCUGCUUUCUGAGCUGUGCCUGGCACACUGCACCACACAAACCUUGCACUGCUCACUAACUGUGCCAUGUAUAUAAGCCUCCUCAGCCCGAUGGUGGACACCUUGAAGAUAGGGACCUAUAUGAUUUGAUUCCUACCCUCCUUAGCACUGACAGAUUUGUCAAGCUGUUCCAGUGGAUAAAUACGGGGGAUAACUGCUGGAACAGCAUCUUGAGGUGUUUAUAUGGCUUGGCUUCUGAUCUUUGACAUUUGAUAACUGAUGAACAUGCUAUUUGGGCCCACCCAGGAGCCAGCCACACCAUGGGGGAGUCUGAACCUCACCCACACUGUGGCCACUCAGGGGAAGGAGACCAGGGCCAAGAACGCAGUUGCUAACCUCCUGCUUAGAUUUGCUUCUUGCGGGGCAGCCCUGGAAACCCAAAGAAGAGCUAAAACUGUGUGGAUGAGAGAAAACCUUCAGAACCCAUUCAUAGAGAUACCAGGAGCAGCUGAGAACCCAUUGUAGGAAGGACACAUGUUCAAGACCUCCCCCAUCUGCCCAUCUAGGGACAUGGAUGUUUAACAUGCUAGGGUCAGAAGUGGGAACAUAGGUCAGCUUGAGUAGAACCUGGUGCCUGUGCAGGAACCCUGCCUUCUGUGGGCCCAGCUACUCGGGAGGCCAAAGAGGGAGGAUGGCUUGGGUCUGGGAGGUCGAGGCUGCAGUGAGCUAUGUUUGCACCACUGCACUACAGCCUGGGCAACAGAGUGAGACCCUGUUUCAUAAAAAAUAAAUAAAAAUAGAAAGCCUGGCGAGCCCAGUGUCUACUCAGAGCUUAGGAGAGAGGGAGGAGAAAAGCAGGAUGAGGGCAGCUUGGGAGGCGGUCCUUCAUUCUGCCAAUAAACAUUAUUUUGUGAAUCAGGCCUGGCUUGAGGCACAGCGUAUGCAGAAAAGUUCAAGGGAGACAGAGUCCCUGCUCUCAGGUAAAAUGCCUGGAGGAGUUGUAGCUCCGAUACACAUCUCACGACAUGGGCAGAGCUUGGCUGACCAUGGGUGUAGGGGAGCUAUGGCCUUCCCUCCUCAUUAUAUCCCAGUCUUCCAACUUUGUGAAAGACCUGGAAUUCCCAUGCUAUAAGGUGGUAUGAGUGUGGGCACUAGGGCUGGGACUAGUCCAGGUCCCAGCUCCACCACUUAUUGGCUGUGUGACCUCGUGCAAGCUACUUAAACUCUCUGAACCUUUAGCAUCUUAUCAGUAAAAAUAAGAACAGUAACAGUUCUUCAUCUCAGGGUUGUCUGAGGAUUUCAUAAGAUCCUCCUGGCAAAGUGACCCCUUAGCUCCAUGUGUGGCACCUGCAGGCGCUUCGGAACCACCGGCUCCUAUCCUAUGUACUCCCACGAGGCAUGGGAGGGCUCUGGAUAUGAAAUUAUCUGCAAGGUCCAAGUAACUUUUGCUUAGAAAAAACAAAAGGGAUGAUGAGGGAAGAAGUCUCACUUAGGAACGAAAUUGCCUGGGGCCCUGUUUCCUGAGAGGAUCGCGCAGGAGUCAUAUGACAUUGGUCUGACUUUCCUGAACUGCCCACGCAUGCGCUGAGUUUCAACAGCACCGAGAACCUAGGCUUCUCUUCCUGAAACUUAGGAGAAGCUUGGGCUUCCCUCUGGCCAGUCCAGAGGUGGUUCCCAGGUAAUUGCCUGGUCCAAGAGCCACAGAGGAUUUGGAAUUAUGAGGGUAGGGAACUGCGGUUAGGGGGAUCCCAGAGUCUCAGGAAGCAUUUCAGUUCCAUCCCUUGACCCCACUUCAUGCUCUGGCAUAUCGAGGGCCCGGAAGUGCUAGGAGAGCUGUGAUUGGCAGGCCUCACUCCCUGCCCACCUUCCCUCUUAGCUUCCCCAGAACCAUAGCCCCCUUUAGACUGGGCAUAUGGGCAGAUAACAAAGGAUAUCAUGCUGGGGACGUAUUUCUGAGAGGGGGUGACUGCCCUUGCCCCUAAGUAUGAGUUGCCUUUUCCAAAUAUCCCCACAAUGUAAAGUGAUCGGCAAAGGGGACCACAGCCCUUGGUUCUACACCCAUCAAACAUGUGCUGAAAUCAGAUUCUUUUCUAAGCAACACAUCCAUAUUAUGCCACCAUUCAGACGAAACCAAGAGCUAAUCAUCCUGAGUAUGAGAUGUGUUCUCUGGUGAGAUGCCUGGACCUCCACAGGGGAGGUUGUUCUCUUGAGAAAAUGCCGACUUCCCCUCGUCUUUCAGAGGCCCCCUUCCUGACCAAAAGGCUCAAGGUGCGUGUUGGAGAGGGAAGGGAAAGAAGAUGCUUGUUGCUGUUCAUUACGGACAGGUUCCCCAAGAGUGACACCGUACUGUGGACUCAGCUUCAGGAGGAGAGAGACCAUGCCUGCAGGAAUCAAAAUGAAUCAGCACCAAUCCUGACCCAAGAUGAUAUGGGUUGACUGAAUCAGUUGUUCCUCAUCAAGUAUACUGGAAGUCAGAAUGGCUCCUCCUCCAUGAUGCCCCUGUACUUAGAGCAUCUGGCGUCUGUGAAGGGUCUAAUCCCAAGUGAGGAUUCUGCUCCUGAGACAGCCAGGACCAGACGAUUGCCAAGGUCCCUCCAGCCUAAAGGCAGUGACUCUAGAACAGAUGGGGCUGGAUGGUAACAGGGUAACUGGAGCUCAGGAAUGGAGGCCAGGUUAGAGGCAUGCUUGCCCAGUCAUUCCAGGUGCCCAGGUUCCAGGCUUAUCCCUCUUUAGGAGAGAAGUAAAGACAUGAAGAGGAACCCUCUGUGGGCCUGUGCUGACCCAUCUGCCACCCCCAACCAGAGGCAUGAGUGACAUGGGAAAGGGGAGUGGCGUUGGGGCUGCUUGGCCUGCCUCCUGCACCCCAAAGCUCUGGGUUCAAUUACACUCAUUGUCACUGUGCACAGAACCCACGUCACCACUGAGGAGAUCAGCUGGGCCCUGGCUGCUGACAGCUUGUUUUAUUCUUGCUAAGCCACUACAUCUUGGCUUUGUUGUUAUGUUUCCAAUAGCAACAGGAGAAAAGACAACUUUUUCUGCUUUGGGAGCUUAUUUUUUUCUCCCGUAGGAGAAAGCUCCAGCCUGAAGACUUGAUGUCCUUGGGGCCCCAAUGUGGCCUUAGCCCAGACCCUGGGGGCCAGUAAGGAGAAGUCCAGCUUAGCUCUGCCCCAGGGAAACAGCGGGUAGCUGAAGUCAUGGAGGAUCCAGGAGCCAGGAGCUAUCAACUCUUCUGGAAUUGGGCUCAGCUGCCCUUUUUAGUUUUGAAUGGCUACAAAAUAUCCACAGUGGCUUGGGUAGGCCUAAAGCAUAGACAGUGGAGAAAGGAAAAGGAGAGAAAAAAGGAACUUAAGAGUAGAGGAGAAAGGAGUGGGAGAGAAUGGCAAGAGAAGAAAGGUGGCUGUGGAGAAGUGCAGUGACACCAUCAGCACCCUUGGGCAUCACUUGGCAUUUGAAGCCAAAGAGGAUGACCCCACAGGCCUGGAUGAAAAAUAUAGAGGUUCUCUCUGGCAAGGGGCUUUUGCUUUCCAUUGAGAAGGAGCUGCCAUCAUGAAUGGAUGGAUGGAUGCAUGGACAGGUGGGUGGAUGGAUGAAUGAAACAAUAAGCGUGGUAUUCCCAGGAUUGAAUGAAUGAUAAAGGAAGGAAAAAUAAGUGAGAAGUGAGAGAAUCCAAUGAGGGGUUAAGCCAUCUUAGGCAGGGAUUGCCAAGGAGUGGUUUGGGAGGGCCUUGCCCCGUCCCCUCCAGUCUCCAUUGGCUUCCCCUAAAGUCUUUCUAAGUAAAUAAACAUGCAAUCUAAGUGGAAAAAUAGAGUGUUUACUAUACAAAACAGCCUGAUGAAAACCCCCUGGCUCCUGUAUCAGCCAAUAUUCCAUCCAUAGGUUCUCCUUUACAGAAACUCCCGAGCUGCCACUCAUCAACUACAAGGCAUUGUGUCUGCUUUUUCCAAAUCCCAUCCCAGACCAAUUGUAUUCAGGCUGUGGACAGACAGGUGAGGACCUGAAACAUGAUUAAAGGAUAUAGGGAAAAUAAACUUUAGAUUCACUUGAGAAUAGGAAGAGUUAAAGGGCCUUAAGCCUUUCAGUCACUCCUACUUAGGGAUUUGGGGUAUUAAUUAACAAUAGCAAAUCAUUGGGUAGAUUGUCUCUGCUCUCCCUUCAGUAAAAAAUGUCAGGUAUAGGCAUUUCUUCCUAUGCCCAGUAGGAAUAGUUCACUGGGGCCAGGAUCAAGGGUUAGGGGUCAAAGGACUAUACUCUCUAAGCCUUGAACCAAUAAUGUGAGCAGCUAGUGCAGAAGUGAGCAAGGCUCUUCUUUCAUGGAAGGUUCUUAUCAGAAACCAGAGCUGUCUGGAGGGACACAGUGAGUCAGAUUACAACAGCUACCCAUGGUGGGGACAGGUCAGAAGGGGUCACGCAGAGGCUGUAGGGAAGGUUGCUAUUCUUAGGCCCCUACUAUCUCAGGCGUCUGCUGACUCACUUGGGAAUCUCUGGACUCCUGGGUAGAUCCAGUCCAAUAACCUGCCUAGUUCUUGGGUAAGCCUGUAUUGCCUUUAAUGAUAAUAAAUAACAAGAAAAUAUAGACUUUUUCUCUAAAAGAAAGAUGCAAUAUCAUGUUUAAGCCUAUGCAAGAGGAAGGGUAAGGAGGUCUGAUUCCCAGAGAAGCAUCAAUCUUACCUCAGAUCUUGGAAAGACUCCUGGAAGGAAAGGGAGAGAGAGAGAGGCUAACCCCGGGGUAGUGGCCCUGGAGGCUUUGGUACUGAGUCACAACAUGGGUAGGGGAAAGGUACAUUAUAUUUGGGGCAAGGAUCAAGUGAAAGUCUAGGAAAAACAUCAACCUUGGAGACUGAAUAGGCUUGCCACAUUAGAAGCCUCAAAAGGGGACUUAAGUGUCCCUUUGAUUAAGGAGAAGACAGAAAAGGUGCACUAUGCAGAAAAUAACCUCCUCAGGAAGGCAAGUACGUUUAAUGGGUUUUCACAGAAAGGUGGGAGACCAUUUCAUUUUCCCUUUCUUAGGACAGGGAUCUGGGGAUGUUUGCCUGAGAGGUUAUAUGUUCGUUGUGGCCUAAUGUCUUUCAGAGUAGACUGUCACCAACUCUUUGACUCCUCCUGCUCAUGGAUUCCUUCCACCAUACCUUUGGUUUCCAUUUCUAAAUGUGCUUCAGCCUGGGGGAGGCUGCAGUAAAUGACUCUGUCUAACUUGCUUCCUUGACCUUAGGACUAACCUUUUAAAACUCAUGACUUUUCCUUCUUUAUUUAAAAUCUCUAUCUUUUAACUUUUUUUUUUCUUUUUUUUUUUGAGAUGGAGUCUCACUCUGUCACCCAGGCUGGAAUGCAGUGGUGCGAUCUCACUCACUGCAAGCUCCACCUCCCAGGUUCACGCCAUUCUCCUGCCUCAGCCUCCUGAGUAGCUGGGACUACAGGCGCCUGGAUAAUUUUUUUGUAUUUUUAGUAGAGAUGGGGUUUCACCGUGUUAGCGAGGAUGGUCUCGAUCUCUGGACCUCGUGAUCCACCCACCUCAGCCUCCCAAAGUGCUGGGAUUACAGGCGUGAGCCACCACGCCCAGCCUUUUAACUUUUUAAUUUACUCAUUCUAUUGAUUUGUCUUUCUAGUUAAAAAAUAAAAAAAUAAAUCUUCUCCAGGGAGCAUGUGUCAGGAGGGAAAAGAGUCCCUUGUGUGUUAAGCCCUACUGGCUAGGGUUAAAAGCUGAGUUGCUUGUGUGAACUUGACCUUGAGCAUGAUCCCCAAAUGAUAGUUGUCUCUACGUGAGUGGUCUUUAUCUGGCCUCCUCCUCUCUUAGCACUGACCAGGCUAUAUCUGUGGCUAAGACCUAGAGGAAAAGACUUGGGUUAGCCUGUGAAGCAGAGCAGCUGAGCUAGGAAUUCUAAGAAUGGGGGACAAAAGAAAAAAAAAGGUAGGGAAGGUGGAGGGGGCACUUCUUUCCUCAGGUCUGCUGUUAUGGUACAGCCUCCUGAAUUUGAGUUUCUCAAGUAGUCAGGGCUAGGCUCAAGUUGUCAGGGCUAGGCUAAGGGCAAACUGAGGCUAGAGUCAGUAAAGUGAUCUGCCUAUGGUCUUACAAUUACUGGGCAGUAGAUGGUUUACAUUUAGAGGCAGCAUCAACAACCCUGUAGUAUCAGUUAGAAUUCUGGUGGGGAAAAAGAGGAGAAUUUAAUGAAGGGAUUAUUUAUCAAGCUAUGGACAGGAUUUAGGGGAACUAACAAAGGAAGGUGCAAUACUUUAAGCUUAAUCACAUUGAAGAGGCAUUACCCUCCCUAAAUCCAAAGGGUCAAGAGGAAGGAAUAGUUAGGAGAAUCCACAGAGAGUACCUGUAAGGAGAGGGCCUCCCAAUAGGAUGGUGACAGUGCAACUUUUGGUAGAGGGGCAAAACUAAUUCACAGUGAUUUGACAGGAAAGGAUCUAGGGGAAUAAACAUCCUUUCUGUCUUGUAGUUUCCUGUUUGUGUCUCUUUUUGCCUGAGCACAACUAGAAACUAGAGGUCAAUGGUGCCCCAUUGAUGCAAUCUAGACAGGUUGACAGGCCAAAGGGUGGCGAGUGAAUCUGGAGAGCAAAUGUAAGAUAGCCAGCCACCUGGGAACACAGAUGAGAUUUGUUUGUAGUAAUUUCCAAAAUUUUUUGCCUCUGUCUCCAUUGCCAUACCUGUUCCUGCAUGGCUUGCAGAUGCUAGAGUUUUUCUGCUGCUUCCUUAUAUCUUGGAACCCCCAGCCAGGUUAUCAGGUCUAGUUUCUGGGCCUGCCUGCUAUCAUUCAUCAUUUCUUUAUCAAAACCUGUUCUUAAGAUUUUUGCUUCUGGCCAUGACAAAGCAACAGGAUCCAGAUUUACCCUCCCCCUGUAUCCCUUGGGAUUUGAAGCCAAAGAGGAUGACCCCGCAGGCCUGGAUGAAAAAUAUAGAGGUUGGCCUGGCCAACAUGGUGAAACCCUGUCUCUACCAAAACUAGAAAACAACAAAAUAAAUGUACUGACGGCUUCAGAUAUUGUACAACACACAGUGCAGAACUAUGACCCAUGAGAUAAAGAAAAUACAUGUGGUAAAUGAUCAUGACAGUUUCUGAUUGGAGGCACAUUCUGGACUUUACAGCAGGGGAAACAAUAUCCCAAGCACAGUAUGGUAGUCUUGUUAAGUUAAAAUACAGAAAUGAAGGUCAAGGAGACUGUAGUUGGAAACUGUGGGGCAGAAUUCUAGAAAAGAGGGGACCAUGUAAAAAAAGCUCCAGAAAUCUGCACAAGUGCCCUGUUGAGUGCUUAAUACUAAGAUGUUCAUACCCAGAGUGAAGCUUUGUAAGUCUGGGCAAAGAAUGACCAGAAGCUAUAAGCUGAAAAUUUCAGAGUUCACAUGGGAUUCUGAGAUGUAAAAAUAUCAACCAGCUUGAUCAGCUGGGGCAUUUAGUAGAGAUCCAAUGAGGUUCAUAUGCAGAUAGUAAGACUGAACUAUCCCUAGAAUAAAAGAAACGUUAGGUUCAUUCUAACAAAGCUAAAAACAAGCCUCUAAAGGAAUAAUCUUAUCCAUAAGUAACUGCCUGCUGGAUAAAAACUCAAUACUCCUUAAAGGAGGAUUUAAAAAUAUACAAACAUUCAACAAUGUAACCUUUAAAAUAUCCAACAUCUAAGCAAAAAUUACUAGACUCACCAGGUAGCAGAAAAAUGUGACCCAUAUCAGGAAAAAAGGCAAUUAAUAGAAACAUGCCUGAAAAUGACAGAGUUGAAAAGACAGAAUGAACAGACAGGCACGUUAAAACAGCUGUUUAAGUAGGCAAAAUAUACUCCAGGAUUUUAAGAAAAACAUACAUAAAAUGAGGAAAGAAUGCACUUCUUGUGGUGGAAAAGACAAUAUCUGAAAUGAAAGGUCAGUGGCUGAAAUUCAAAGCAAACUAGAUGCUACAAGGAGAAAAGUAAAACUGAAAACAGCAAUAGGAACUAUCCAAAAUGAAGCACCAAGAGGAAGAAGACUUCAAAAACAAAACAAAACAAAACAAAAAACCCAGAAAUGAACAAAGUCCCAUCAAUCCUUGAGCAAUAUCAAGUGGUCUAACAUAUGUAUAAUUGAAAAAGAAAAAAGAGGGAGAACAAAUUUUUGACAAAAAUCAAGGCUGAAAAUUUUCCAAAUUUGUUAAAAACUAUAAAUACCACAGAUCCAGGAAUCACAAUGAACCCCAAUCAAAAUAAGCAAGGGAAAUCACACCAUCAUACCAAAGUACAUCAUAAUAAAUUACUAAAAUUAGUAAUAAAGAGAAAAUCUUAAAAGUAGUCUGAAAAAAGCUGUAUUUUAUAGUGUCAUAGAGAGUAUAGGAAAUACUGCAGACUUCUGAUCAAAACAAUGCAAGCCAGAAGACAAUGGAAUACUUUCUUUGAUAUACUGAAUGAUACACAAAUCAAAUUCUGUAUCCAGCGAUAUAAUGAAGACUUUUUGAGAUAAAUGAAAGCUUAGACAAUUCACCAUCAGCAGAUCUACCCUAAAGAAAUGUUAACAUAAGUUUUUUACAAAGAAGGAAAAUAAUACUUGGAUCUACACAAAAGAAUGAAGAGCACCAGAAAUGGGAAACAUGAGGAUAAAUAUUAAAAUUUUUCAUUAAAAAUUUCUUUAAAAUAUUAAAGCAAAAAUAAUAAAGUACUGUAGAGUUCAUAACAUAUGCAGAAAUAAAAUUUAUAGCAGCAAUAGCACAAAGGACAAGAGCAUGUAGCUAAAAGUCAAUGGUCUAGAUAAAAUGAAAUAACAAAAAAGAACCCUCACUUCAAAAGAAGGCAAGGAAAGAUGCAAAAGGUAACAAAGAACAGAUGGAAUGAGUAGAAAACAAAUAGUAAGAUGACAUACCUAAACCAAACAUGUAUGUUACAUGUACUUGUAAUUAAAUGCAAAUGGUCCAAAUACCCCAAUUAAAGGUCAGGCACUAUCAGACUGGAUUUAAAAAGCAAGAAAUUCAUUUUAAAUAUAAAAACACAAAUAGUUUAAAAGUAAAAGAAUGAAAAAAGAUAUGCUGUGCAAUGCUUAUCACAAGAGAGCUGGAGUAGCUAUAUUAAUAAUAAAAAAAGAAGACUUUAGGACAAGGAAUAGCACCAGAGAUAAAGAGAGACAAUUUCAUAGUGACAAAAAGGAAAAUUUAAGCCAGGUGCAGUGGCUCACGCCUGUAAUCCCAGCACUUUGGGAGGCUGAGGCAGGCAGAUCAUGAGGUCAGGACAUCGAGACCAUCCUGGCUAACACAGUGAAACCCCAUCUCUAAUAAAAAUACAAAAAAUUAGCUGGGCGUUGUGGUGGACGCCUGUAGUCCCAGCUACUCGGGAGGCUGAAGCAGGAGAAUGGUGUGAACCCGGGAGGCAGAGCUUGCAGUGAGCAGAUAUCACGCCACUGCACUCCAGCCUGGGCGACAGAGCGAGACUCCGUCUCAAAAAAAAAAAAGAAAAAUUUAAGAAGAUUUAACAAUUCUAAAUGUUUCUGUACCUGCUAACAGAACUUCAUAAUAUAUGAAUCAAAAACUGACAAAAGUUAAAGAGGAAAUAGACAAAACCACAGUCAUAGUUUGAAUAUAUACAUUUCAUCAUUCCUCUCUCAAGAAUUAAUAAAACAAAUAGUCAGAAAAAUCAGUAAACCAGUAAGGAUACAGAUGAUCCCAGCACUUUGGGAGGCCAAGGCGGGUGGAUCACAAGGUCAAGAGAUCGAGACCAUCUUGGCCAACAUGGUGAAAUCCCAUCUCUACCAAAAAUACAAAAAUUAGCUGGGCCUGGUGGCAUGCAGCUGUAGUCCCAGCUACUUGGGAGGCUGAGGCAGGAGAAUCGCUUGAACCCAGGAGGCGGAGGUUGCAGUGAGCUGAGAUCAUGCCAGUGCACUCCAAGAAAGCUAGGUCAAUUGCUCAUAUGACUAGCAUUUCUACUCCUAGGUAUGUACCCAAGAGUAUUGAAAAUCCAUGUCCACACACACUGUAUAUGAAUGUUCAUAGCAGCAUUAUUCAUUUUAGCCAGAAAGUGGAAACAACUCAAAUGUGCAUCAACUGAUGAACAGAUAAACAAAAUGUGGUUUAUCCAUACCAUGGAAUAUUAUUCAGCUAUGAAAACAAAUGACAUUCCAAUACAUGCUACAACAUGGAUGAACCUUGAAAACACUAUGCUCACUGAAAGAAGCCAAACACAAAAGGUCACAUAUUGUAUAAUUCCAUUUAUAUGAAAUGUCCAGAAUAAGCAAAUCCAUAGAGAUGGAUAGUAGAAUAGUGGUUGCCAGAGGAAAGGGGAAGGAGGAAUGGGGAGUGACUGCCAAUGCAUAUGGAGACUCUUUUGGGGGUGAUGAAAAUAUUCGGAACUAGAUAAUGGUGAUAAUUGCACAAUUUUGUGAAUAUACUAAAAAUCAUGGAAUUGUACACUUUAAGAGGGUGAAUUUUAUGGUAUGUCAAUUAUAUCUCAAUUAAAAAAAUAAGUAUUUGGUAUAAAUGAUUUUAUGCCCCAGUGUUGAUAAUGGAUAAAGGCUUAAUGAGAGACUCUUCUCAGCAAUAUGGUUCAACUCAGACCAACUCCUCCCUACAAAGGCUACAGAAUCUAUUUUUUCAAAAAGUCCAGCUCUUAGGACCUUUGUUCUUAGCUGUGGUUGCUACCAGGCUGCCUCUGAGGCCUGAAAAAUCGUGUCAUAGGCAGUAGAGGUUGAAUUUUGUAUUUUAGUAUCUAUGCUUACUUUCCUGCAGUAUGAGUUCUUUAAAGUCUAUUGCUAACUUGCACUCAUAGGCUGAAUUGAAAGAAUAAAGGAUCACAGUGAGGCACUUUACAGUUUAUAAAAAAGCAUGUUCACAUUCACCACUCUUUUGAUUUUACGCAUUUAGAUUUAAAUUGGGCGUUCUGAAUGGCCACACAACAGCAGGCCCUAAACUCUAGCCCCAACCUCUCUGACUCCAAAAAUCGAGUCAUUCUUAAAACAACUAAAAUGUGCUUCUGAGCAAGUUAUGGAGAAAUGGGCUGCCACUCGCCCUCCCAAGAAUAUUAUGAAGGCUCUUAGCCAUUUAAGGAACAACUUCUGGCCAGGCAGGGUGGCUCACGCCUGUAAUCCCAGCACUUUGGGAGGUCAAGGCGGGUGGAUCACAAAGUCAGGAGAUCGAGACCAUCCUGGCUAACACGGUGAAACCCCAUCUCUACUAAAAAUACAAAAAAACUAGCCGGGUGUGGUGGUGGGCUCCUGUAGUCCCAGCUACUCAGGAAGCUGAGGCAGGAGAAUGGCAUGAACCUGGGAGGCAGAACUUGCAGUGAGCUGAGAUCGUGCCACUGCACUCCAGCCUGGGUGACAGAGUGAGACUCCAUCUCAAAAAAAAAAAAAGAAAAAAAGAACAACUUCCACUAACAAUCUUUUUUUUUUUGAGACAGAGUUUUGCUAUUGUUGCCCAGGCUGGAGUGCAAUGGUGUGAUCUUGGCUCACUGCAACCUCCACCUCCUGGGUUCAAGCAAUUCUCCUGUCUCAGCCUCCCAAGUAGCUGGGAUUACAGGCGUGAGUCACCAUGCCUGGCUAAUUGUUUUGUAUUAUUAGUAUAGACAGGGUUUCACCAUGUUGGGCAGGCUGGUCUUGAACUCCUGACCUCAGGUGAUCUGCCCACCUUGGCCUCCCAAAGUGCUGGGAUUACAGGCGUGAGCCACCACGCCUGGCCUCCACUAACAAUCUUAUAUUGGUCUGCAUUAUGCAGAAUGACCUGGACUAUUAGUCAUGGGGCAGGCCCAGAUGUUAAAUAGCUUGGUCCAGUAUGCUCACCUCAUUAACCAUGUGGUUUGUGGGUCCAUUUUCACUCCUGCAGGGACACACACACACAAACACACCUCUCUUUACAGCAAGAUAAAGAGUCACCUAUCUUUUCCCAGCAGUGCUCUGACCAGGGCUGAGUUCCCACUUGCAUUUCCUUCCUCCCUCUCUCCCUCCCCCUUCCUCCCUUCCCCUCUCCCUCCUUCCUUCCCUCCCUUCCUUCCUUCUUUCCUUUUUUCCUUCCUUUUUAUGGUCAAAUAUACGUAACAUAAAAUUUAUCACUGUAACCAUUUUUAACUGUACUGUUUAGGGGUGUUAAGUACAUUCUCACUGAUGUCCAGCCAUCACCAUUAUCUAUCUCCACAACUUCUUCAUCUUGAAAAACAGAAACUUUGUAUCCAUAAAACAUUAACUCCCCGUUCCCCUCUCUCCACCCCAACCUCUGGUAAUCACCACUCUACUUUCUGUCUCUGUGAAUUUGACUCCUCUAGGUACCUCAUGUAAGUGGAAUCACACAAUAUUUGUCCUUUGGCCACUUGUAUUCCUUGAUGGCAAAGAGUCAUCUUGUUCCAGAGCUGGCCCAUAGGACCAGGUGUUUCAUGUGGUAGCCGGGAAGGAUAGCAAGAGGAAGGAUAGCAGAUUCUGGAGUGCAAACACAUCCCCAGACAGAAUCAGGAGGGCUCCCCUCAUCCUGUCGACAGCUGGAAAUUCUUUCUGCUCUUCUACAAGUUGAGUGUUACAAACAGGAGACUUUUCAAGCCCAGUCCCAAACACAGGAAUUCGUCCCUCGUCAGUCUGUCUCCUGGGCCCCAUUGAGACAGCUGGACUUCCCACGCAAGUGAAAGCAUUCAACUGGGAGUGCCUUUUCCUGGGUCAGCCUGUUCCAGCUUACCCUUGAAGGAGACCAUCAGCUCCUUAAGAGCAACAGCUAUUUUUCUGUCCCAAGUUGUGUAGAAUGCAGUGUAGAGCACUUUUAAAAUGUCCAUUUUGGCUAUUAGCAGCAAUCAAUGCAAUCUAUACCAGCUCAGGUUGGCAUGAUAAUUUUAUUUACUUAGCCAGUCCUUUGAAAUUCACAGCAAGGAUAUGAGCCUUAUGCAUGAUCCUCCCACUGGUUUUCGUACAGGUGAAUGAACCGAUUCCUUAUUGCUGAAAAAAAAAAAUCUUACACUGGACUUGGAGUCAGGCCACAGCUAGACUGGAAGCAAGGAGACUGGAAAGCAAACGUGGACCUGACAGGCUCUGUCAUGUCCCAGGCCUAAUCUGGUGGGAGUCCUGAGAACAGCCUGUGCUGUGUGUGCCCAGGUGCAAAGAAUAUGUAAACCUUUCUCAAGUGAAAAAGCUUAGCUUUUUCCAAAUUCCCAUUUGAGACUGCCUGUGCGACUGCACAGUGUGCACACUCAUGCAGAUAGGUGGAGUCCUAUUCAACUUCUACAAAACACACUAAUUUGUUGAUUUGUUUUAUUUCUAUAUGGUACCUUUCCUCCUAG